CUGGGCCCUAUGGUGGUGGAGGCCAGUACUUUGCCAAACCACGAAAUCAAGGUGGCUAUGGCGGUUCCAGCAGCAGCAGUAGCUAUGGAAGUGGCAGAAGGUUUUAAUACUGCCAGGAAACAAAGCUUAGCAGGAGAGGAGAGCCAGAGAAGUGACAGGGAAGCUACAGGUUACAACAGAUUUGUGAACUCAGCCAAGCACAGUGGUGGCAGGGCCUAGCUGCUACAAAGAAGACAUGUUUUAGACAAUACUCAUGUGUAUGGGCAAAAAAAACUCGAGGACUGUAUUUGUGACUAAUUGUAUAACAGGUUAUUUUAGUUUCUGUUCUGAGGAAAGUGUAAAGCAUUCCAACAAAAGGUUUUAAUGUAGACUUUUUUUUUGCACCCAUGCUGUUGAUUGCUAAAUGUAAUAGUCUGAUCAUGACGCUGAAUAAAUGUGUCUUUUUUUUAAAUGUGCUGUGUAAAGUUAGUCUACUCUGAAGCCAUCUUGGUAAACAUCCCCAACAGUGUGAAGUUAGAAUUCCUUCAGGUUGAUGCCAGGUUCCAUUUAAAAUUUCUUCACAAUUGCUUGGGUAAUGAAGCCGUUGUCUUCAGAAACCUUGGUGUAGUUGAACUGACAAUUACUGUUGUGACCUGAAUUUGACCAUUGAAAAGGUCACCCAAGCAAGCAGAGUCAGUUACUUACUUGGUUAUAAAAAUGAUUGUUGGCACAUCCUAUACAAUAUCUAAAUUGAAUAAUGGUACCAGAUAAAAUGAUAGAUGGGAUUGAAGCUGUGUAUCAUCCAUUAUCAUGUGUAAUCAAUAAACGAUUUAAUUCUCUUGAAUGGAAUGACAACUGUAUGGAUUUGGGACUGGCAGAGAUUUGUACUUUUUUCCCUACCCAUUCAUUGCCCCUGAUAAAUGUUGAAUGCUUCUAUCACAAUACAAGUUCAAAGCUCUGCCAGAGAAUAGCAACCAGCUGCUGGCUAAAGCUGCCCCAUAAAUCCAGAUUAGAAAUUUUGGGAAGCUUUUUUUUUUUUUUUUUUAAGUUACAAGUACUAGUAAGAAUUUUAAUCAACAAAUAGUUUUACAUUAAAGGAAAACUGCAGUUUUGCUGGGUCGUGGGUGGGUGGGUCUUCAGGUCAGGUCAAUUAUUUGGAGAUUAAAGCCAAGAAAUAAUUUUCUGCAUGAUUUCAUGUUCACUGCAGUUUUCCUUUAAAUAUGGCACAA